GAUGAACGCUGGCGGCAUGCCUAAUACAUGCAAGUCGAACGAGAGGAAGGAAAGCUUGCUUUCCUGAAUCUAGUGGCGAACGGGUGAGUAACACGUAGGUAACCUGCCCAUGUGCCCGGGAUAACUUCUGGAAACGGAUGCUAAAACCGGAUAGGUAGCAGACAAGCAUUUGACUGCUAUUAAAGUGGCCUUGGCCAUGAACAUGGAUGGACCUGCGGUGCAUUAGCUAGUCGGUGAGGUAACGGCCCACCAAGGCGACGAUGCAUAGCCGGCCUGAGAGGGCGGACAGCCACAUUGGGACUGAGACACGGCCCAAACUCCUACGGGAGGCAGCAGUAGGGAAUUUUCGUCAAUGGGGGGAACCCUGAACGAGCAAUGCCGCGUGAGUGAGGAAGGUCUUCGGAUCGUAAAGCUCUGUUGUAAGAGAAAAACGGCACUCAUAGGGAAUGAUGAGUGAGUGAUGGUAUCUUACCAGAAAGUCACGGCUAACUACGUGCCAGCAGCCGCGGUAAGAC
rnacentral:rRNA from 1 species